CAUGUGGAUGACAGCUGGACUUCGGUGUAGCCGGCAAAACGCGACAGUAAGACACUAGUUAGACUGGGUUAGACUACAUGCUAAUAUAACUGUUCACAAUGUAUCAAAUGCUAAUAGUGUCUAAAUUCACAUAAAGUGUUUGCUUGCGAGACGAGCCACGGUUUCCAGUGAGCCUGGGCCUUGCGAAUUUUUAAUUAUGUAGCUAGCUAAUGUUAGAGAACAGCCACAGAAGGAUGGUGGGGGAUCGUCUGUGGAAGUUUUUCUUUUCUUUUUUGAUAAUUACAUCCUGUGGUUCUGACAACAGACUGAGACGGUAAACAAUGAAGAGGAAGGGAACCACCAGCAGCUUUUCCCAGCCUAAAAGAAGAGAGGAGGAAGAGCAUCCCAGAGAGGAGAUGGAGGAGGAAGAGUUAAGAGAGAGAGAAAGAAACGAAGGCAUGCAGAGCUCAGACAGUGAAAGAGGCCGCCUUGUCAAAACCGAAGGAAAUGCUGAUGAUGGAAAGGCUUGAGGAGGCAGCUCUGGUAAACUACCCCUCUUUAAGUCAAACACAAAGUGGAAAGAUCUCCACUCCAAUAUGUCUGCUGUCCUGCAUUCCAAAAUCCAGACAUCAGCAUGCUCUUGAGGGAUAAACAUGAUGACGACUGCCUCUCCGGUGUCAAGUACUGGAGUGUCUGUGCUGCGGUCUCGGCCAGUUAUAAUGAAGUGUUUCUGUCUUGGCUAACAAGUGCUCUCUAACCGCCCUGCUCCCUCGCUGAAAUCCUUAACAGCACACCAUCACAAGGCCCCCAUGUUAUCUUGUAAUGACUUGUAAUGACUCAUCAUGCCACAACACUCGUGUGAUCAUAGCAGGACACCACGCUCUGCCUGCCUCGCGGUUUUUGUCUUUCCAUGCACACAAACACACCCACACAGACAGAGUACUGCUGCAGUGUGACUUCUGUACCCGCUUUGUCUGCUUCGCUAAUGUCGGCCCGUGCACCUCAACGGGGAUUUUUAUUGGCACUACUGCAUAUACAGUCGCAUUACUCACUGGACCAGAUGAAUCUAUGAGCUGUGAAAUCAUUCAAGGGGUGUAAUGAUGAGCUAUCGCAGAUCAGCUCUAGCUUUUGUAGCAAUAAAACACACUGAUAGAGUUAGGGCUGUGAAUAUGCUGACACUCAGAAAUGUGAAAAGCUGCAAUAGCAAAGUUAGGAUGCAGUGCGCUUCCUCUUUUUUGUUUCCUCAUUCAUCUUAAAGCAUAUUUCUUCAGAGACAGUGGACACUUUCUUUAAACCCCCAAAGGAUGUCCGCACGCAGUCUGUAAUGAAUAACUUAUAUUUGCUCUAUAUUCAUACGUAGCCUGACAACUGUGUAGGUUUAUUUUGCACUGAAGGGUCACAUAUAAACAGCUGCAGAGAACAAGUUCACAAAGCAAUUAUGUCCUCUGAUAAUUUUCAUUAAGAGAUAUUAUCAGCAGCUCAUUUAGCUCUGGGUGCUUUAGAGUUGACUGAUAUUGCAGAUUAUUCCUGGAUUUCAAGGUGAAUGUAGUGUAAGAAAAUGAAAUAUUUAACCCUCUGAACCCCCGUGGCAGGUUUUGAAGGCAUAUUAUGUUUAAAAUAUUGAAUAUUUAAACCAUUAAUCAGUGACACAAGCUAUAAAAAUAGAAAGAAUAUUUGGAUUUUUCAUCUUUCUUAGCUAAUCGUGUCAUAUGGAAAAUUGACCAAAUCUAUGUUCAAAAUCGCGAUUUAAGCGAUAUACAAAAUUAAAAAUUUUGAAAAAUGUCACAAAAGUAAAACAGUUUUAUGUCUUCCAGUAACACUCUAGGGUUGAAAUUUUGAAUUUCAAAGUAUUUCAAUGAGUUACCUUUAAUAAUUUAUGGCAUUAUGACUGUGUUAUACUGAAUAAAUAAAAGACAUUUCUGACUUGUAUUGCAAUAACAAAAAAUUAGCCCACGGUGAGUAAAAAUGUGACAUGAGCAAAAAAAUGUGCAAAUAUUAAGAAGCAGAAGAUUACUUUAAUAUGACUUUUUAAAAAAAUGUUUCAGUAAAACUCACUGUUAAAUAUGACUCUUUACUCGAUUUACUGGCUUUCUAUUGUCUCUAAUAAUGUUUAACCAUGAUGUUAAUAAUCCCCAAACCUUGUCUUAACAGUUUUCAUUGUCUAACCUUCCUGUCACGUGUAGACAUCGCUGAAAUAAUUAAUUCAGAAAAUAAAUAUUAUUGACAUUUUACAGUUGUACAGAACUGACUACAGUCUUUGCUUAAAUAAAGUGUCCACGGCUUACCUGACUGAAAGGCUGCUAGUCACUGAAGAGACGCUGAUAAUAAAGGGCACUUCCAAAGCUUUCAGUCUACACACUCCACUUAAUUACACACACAAGCCGAGUCCAGGCUUACAAAGCAGGUUCAUAUAUACUGCAGUAAUUAAUUGCAAAGCAAAACUCUGUAUCCCUGACACAAGAUGACACUCAAGGGUGCUGUAGUCUUAUGCCGUGUGUGGACUCUAAAAAAAAGACAUGCAAUGAAUGAGACAAAAAAAGUUAAACAGUCAUUUAAUAAAUACAGAAAACCAUCAGGGAAAUGCUCCCAUAUGUCACAGUGCCACAAAGUUAAAUAAUAAUCAAAAAAAAAAAUCUACUUAAUGAAUUUGGUCAUUAGCAAUAUAGAAAUAAUGUAGGUGCUAUCUUGCAAAUCACUGCAUAUCUUGAGUGCUUGAAAAUACUAAUAAAAUGUUUUUUUUGUAGCUUUUCUAAGCCACAUCAUACAGAUUUAUACCAUAAAUUAAUCAUAUACUAGUUUAAGGUCUGUCCAGGAGCCUUUCUGAGGUGUUGCCAUGAAAUAUACAGUAGAUGAAUGGAAAAAGAUUCAGUCUACAACACCGCAUGCAAACAAAUUGUGGAGAAAAAAUGAAAAUAAAAAUAAAAAACAGGAUUGAAAAUGUUCCUUAAAACUGUAGCACACAUAGAGGUCCACUCUCAAAAGAUAUUUUACACUUUAUGUUUUUAAAAUCAUCAUCCAUCCAUCCAUCCAUCCAUCCAUCCAUCCAUCCAUCCAUCUUCUUCCAUUUAUCUGGGGUUGGCAGCGGGCUCAUUCCAGACUUCCCUUUCCCCAGCAACAUUUUCCAGUUCCUCCUGAGGGAUCUUGCGGCGUCCCAGGCCAGAUGAGAUAUGUAAAUCCUGUGUCUACUGGGAUCUCCUCUCAGCAGGGCUUUGGAGGGAAACCUGCAAAGGAAGUCGCCCCGGAGCUUCUUAAUCAGCUCUCCGAACCUUCUCUUCUGGCUGUCUGUCCCUGAAGAAUCACCCAUGUCAUCACAGUGAAGGGGUUUGCAUGUCCCAGUGAUCCUUGGAGCUGUGCUGUCAGGCUCAGUGGUCCCUGGUUGGGUCUCUCAAGGCAUAGAGCCCCAUGGAUUAUCAAAGUUGGAGCUUCUGUAGUAAAGCACGGUUUAGACGAUGGUGACGGCAGCAAAGUCUGGCUCGGUUGAGUGCAGAAGUUUCCAUAGCCCCAAGGCUUUGACAUACUUCACGUGAUCACAGAACAAAAAGGUGGUUUGAACACUAAGCAGUAUUUUGACAGUAUUUUGUAUUUUAGUAAACAAUAGCAGCUCGAGAGCAAUGCACAAACACCUGACGAUGAACACACAGUUGACAUUCUGUUUACUUCUCUCCUGCUCCCUGUGCUCAGGUAUAGUGUAUUUUAAUAGAGCCUAAUUUUGAACAAAACUUUUUUUUCUGUUACUGUUGUUAGACAAUGGAACGCAUUUGGAAUAGUGACGUAAACACACCUAAUUAAGAGACAUGUUACCUAAGCUACGGCUCUAAAUUUUAUAGUCAUGACAGUCAUGACAUACUCUGCAUACCCAUCUGUUAAAGGCAAUCACCGUGUUGAGAUUUUGUCUGGAUUUUUUAGGGCUAGGGCUUUAACGCGCUAAUUAUGAAUAAUUAAUUACAGAAAAAAUAAUGCAUUAAAAAUAAAGCAUUUAAUCGCACCUUUCUCAGUUCCCUGAUUUCUGGCACACUGGUGACACUGAUGCACACUCCAGCCCAGUAGAUGGUGGUAAUGCACCUAAAGUCUGUUUGCCAGCCGCGAAGAAGAUGCACAGGAUGAGUGAAUCAGCGCAAAAAUGUCGAACCAACGUGGCGGCUCAGUUGCAAACUUUCUCUUUUAUUACGAAAAUUGUUCACCAAAAAGUAUUUCUCAAGCAUUUGAGGUGAGAAAUAAGCUGCUGAAUCUGUCCUCGUUUCAGUUCAACGACAACUAGUUUAGACGUUUAGUUUCGCUAUGCGUCAGACCUCCGCUCCUUGUGCCUCAUUA